rnacentral:misc_RNA from 1 species
CAGGAUUUAUUUAAAAAUGACAUCUGCUGAUAAAAUGAUUCGACAUGGCAGCAUUGAUGAUGUCAAUGCUCACCAGUGCCUAAAGAUUUCAAACUAUGAAGAUACAGUUAGACAAUUGGAUAUUUACUAUGCUAUUGUAAAAAGACAAUUGCUGAGGUUCCAGAGUCCAAUUACAGGACUUUUUCCAAUGCUGUCUUCUGAUCUUCACAUUGGCAGUGUAAGAGAUAGUAUAUAUUGUGCAGUGGCAGUAUGGGGUCUCUAUCAAGCAUAUAGGCGUAUAGAUGAUGAUAGGGGCAAGUCACAUGAACUGGGACAGAGUACUGUUAAGUGCAUGCGUGGCAUCCUCGAAUGCUGGGUAAAGCAGUCAGCGCGCGUGGAGGCUUUCAAGACUCGUCAAAGUGCAGCCCAUGCGCUUCAUGUCAAGUUCCAUCUCACUACAGGCGAGCCUGUACUGACAGACGAACAGUACCAUCACUUGCAGAUUGAUGUGGUUUCACUCUAUCUAAUUUUUCUUGUGCAGAUGAUAACAUCUGGACUACAGAUAAUAUAUACACAGGAUGAAGUAGCCUUUGUACAAAAUUUGGUGUACUAUGUGGAACGUGCAUAUAGAACUCCAGACUAUGGUAUGUGGGAGAGAGGCUCUAAGUAUAAUGAUGGCAAACCAGAGAUUCAUGCAUCUUCUAUUGGCAUGGCAAAGGCAGCUUUAGAAGCCAUUAAUGGAUGCAAUUUAUUUGGCGAUAAAGGGGCAUCAUGGAGUGUAGUGUAUGUCGAUAUAGAUGCACAUAACCGUAACAGGAGUAUUUUUGAAACUAUGCUACCAAGAGAGUCCAGUUCUAAGGGUGUCGAUGCUGCACUAUUGCCAACAAUAUCUUUUCCUGCCUUUGCGACGCACGAGGAACAUUUGGUACAGCUGACCAAGGCCAAUGUGUUACGGCGUUUACAGGGAAAAUAUGGCUUCAAGAGGUUCAGUCGCGAUGGUUACAAAUGUGUACUCGAGGAUCCCGGCAGGAGGUACUAUCAUGAAGGGGAAUUAAAAGAAUUUGAAGGCAUCGAGUCAGAGUGGCCACUGUUCUAUGUUAUUAUGAUUAUAGACGGUGUUUUUCGUACUCUACCAGAUCAGGUAGAAGAGUACCAGAAAUUAUUGAAGGCUAGAAUUUACAUGGAUGAAUAUGGAGAUCCAGUGAUACCCUGGUAUUAUUAUGUGCCACGCGAAUAUAUAGAAAAUGAACGGAGUGAACCAAACUCAGUACGGAGGAUACCAGCCAAUUAUCCGGUUGACCAUGAAAACAAAGACACAGGUGGACUGUUCCUGUGGGCGCAGUCGCUGUUUGUGCUGGCGCAGCUGCUGACAGGCGGUCUGCUGCAUGUCAACGAGCUAGACCCUAUACGCCGCUACCUACCGUCCUACAACCGCCCGCGCCGCGCCGGCAGAUACUCCGCCUUUCAGGCCAAGCCGACAUUUGGUAUAGCGACAGAUUUGGUGGUGCAAGUAGUACUGAUAGCGGAGUCGAUGCGGCUCCAAGCUAUGAUGGGCACGUAUGGCAUACAAACGCAGACUCCCCACGAGGUUGAACCAGUCCAGGUUUGCAGCUCUACACAACUAGUUCAUGUUUACAGAGAAUUAGGCGUUUGUCCUAAGUUGAAGCUCACUGGUCGUCCGAUACGACCUGUUGGAUCGCUUGGCACCAGUAAAAGUGUGCGGUAUGACGGUGCUUUGCUACCCUCUUAUAUUCGAGGUGUCAGAAUUCUACCUAUAUAGGGACAUGGCGUUAUUAAUCGACGAUAUAAAGACUGAGCUACAAUUUGUCGGAAAAUAUUGGCGUUUGUCUGGACGUCCGACUGUGUGCUUGUUGGUGCGAGAAGAACAUAUGCGCGAUCCUCACUUUAAGCAAAUGUUGGAUUUGUUCGCGAUGCUUAAGAAGGGGCAUUGCGACGGAGUCAAGGUCCGCCU